rnacentral:rRNA from 17 species
GACGUAUAGGGUGUGACGCCUGCCCGGUGCCGGAAGGUUAAUUGAUGGGGUUAGCAUUCGUGCGAAGCUCUUGAUCGAAGCCCCGGUAAACGGCGGCCGUAACAAUAACGGUCCUAAGGUAGCGAAAUUCCUUGUCGGGUAAGUUCCGACCCGCACGAAAGGUGUAACGAUCUGGAUACUGUCUCAGAGAGAGGCUCGGUGAAAUAAAAAUAUCUGUGAAGAUGCGGAUUACCUGCACGCGGACAGAAAGACCCUAUGAAGCUUUACUGUAACCUGGAAUUGCUCUCAAGCUUAUUUUGCGCAGCUUAGGUGGGAGACGUUGAACUUCUUUUUCCGGAAAGGAGGGAGUCAUCAGUGAGAUACCACUCUUGGUAAGCUAGAGCGCUCAUUUCUAACCGUUAUCCGGUAGAAAGACAGUUUCAGGCGGGCAGUUUGACUGGGGCAGUCACCUCCCAAAAGGUAAUGGAGGUGUACAAAGGUUCGCUCAGGCUGGACGGAAAUCAGCCAUAGAGUGUAAAAGCAUAAGCGAGCUUGACUGCGAGACUGACAUGUCAAGCAGAGACGAAAGUCGGUUUUAGUGAUCCGACGGUGCUGAGUGGAAAGGCCGUCGCUCAACGGAUAAAAGUUACUCUAGGGAUAACAGGCUAAUCUCCCCCAAGAGUUCACAUCGACGGGGAGGUUUGGCACCUCGAUGUCGGCUUAUCGCAUCCUGGAGCGGAAGUACGUUCCAAGGGUUGGGCUGUUCGCCCAUAGAAAGCGGUACAUGAGCUGGGUUCAGAACGUCGUGAGACAGUUUGGUCCAUAUCCCGUGUAGGCGUUUAGAACAUUGAAAGGAUCUCCCCUUUGUACGAGAGGACCAGGUGGGGACAAUCCGCUAGUGUACCAGUUAUUCCGCCAGGGGUAAACGCUGGGUAGCUAUGAUUGGAGUAAAUAACUGCUGAAAGCAUAUAAGUAGGAAGUUCACCUUAAGAUGAGUGUUCUUUGUCUAUUAAACGAAACGUUUAAACAAUGACAUUAAGACCAUGGGAAGACUACCCAUUUGAUAGGCGUGAUGUAGACGCUCAGUAAUGAGUUUUGAAGCUGACACGUACUAAUAGGUCGAAGGAUUUGAU